CAUGGGGAGGGGAGUUAAGAGAAUAGUAGUGGCAGAGAGAAGGAGAGAGUAGAGAAGUAAAGACCAGCCAUGACCACGUGGAGAGAGGGAAGAAGGGAAUGGGGAGAGAUGGGGAGCAAGGGAGCAAGAGGCAAGGGAGAGAAGCAGGAGUAAGAGAGUAAGAGAGGGAGGAGGGGGCAAGCAGCCCCUUUUAUAGUGGGCCAGGCCUACCUGGCUGUUGCCAGGUAACUGUGGGGAAGAGCCUACCUGGCUGUUGCCAGGUAACUGUGGGGGUGGAGUCCAGACAGAAUCCUAACAAGAAGGGGAUAUGUUUGAUCUCUCCAGCUUAACUGUACCUCUUUAGGGCUGAAUGCAGGAUCUUACAUACAGCAGGAGAUCAACAAGAAGGAUGUGCGAGCCACCAGCAGUUUAACCAAUUCUGAGAUGCAAGAAGUGUAUACGAUUGGAAAGUUGUCUCAGCCCCUACAGAGCUAAGAGAGCAAGGCUCAGAGCUUACCAGAAGAAGUCAAGAUCUCAGUGCCCCACACCAAGGAAUGAUACCCAUGAGAAACACCAGCAUCCACAGGGACUGGACACAAAUGAAGCUUCAAGGAAGUGAUGGCAUCCUUUGAAGAGACCAGGGUGAGUGGGUCACAGGGAACACAGCCCAGCAGACAUUCCUGUGAGGGCUACAGGUCAUGGAGCCUUCCACCUGGAGGACAACUCUGUGCUUGGCUCUGAAGUGAAGUUGUCCUCUGGUGACUCUCAGCAAGCCAAGAAGCUUGGAUCCCAGCUAUGCUGAGCUGUGGAUGCUAAAAAAGACCAGGGAGACUAGAGCCCAGAGACAAAGCCAUCCUCGUCAAAUAAAGAAUUUGCGUUUGACUUGAAAGCAUGCUCAGACAGACAGCUAGCCUAUGUACGUGUGGUUCUUCCUCCUGUUCAACAGGGCUGUGAUGUGAACAUGAGACUUGUGGUGCAUGCCAGUUGGGACAUCAAGCGUCCUCGAAGUUGUGGUCAAUCAACAUGGGACCAGCUGGGGCCUCCCCGAUGCCUACUGUGAGUGUGAAUGUGACCCCUGAUAACAUUGUUCAUUUGGUCACUUUUCACUUCCAGAAGCAACGAAGACAAAUAAUUGGCUUCCUAAGGAAGGAGACAUGAGUCUUGGAACAUUUCUGCCUUGAACUCCUUCAAAGGUUCACAGCCAUAAGCUUCCAGGGGCCUCCGGUGGACUCAUAUCGCUCCUCCUUCUGAAAGUGUAGGUUUUUCUUGUGGGCCAUUAAAAUUUCAAAAGGUGUGCGGAUUCAGAACUGGCAUGUUAUUG
rnacentral:lncRNA from 1 species